rnacentral:tRNA from 1 species
GUACCUCGUAGCUUAUACAAAGCAUGACACUGAAGAUGUCAAGAUGGUCGCGUACACGCACC